CACCGAGUGACUUCCGGCUUAUUCAGUACUGACUGGAGGUCUGCAGGAACGGUGUUGGUGCCUCCUGUUGGAUCUGGCAGUCACUUGUAGAAAGCCCACAUAGCAAGCCCUGUGCAGUUCCUUGGAUCCCAUCCUGUGGUCUGCAGGAAAGACUCUUGAAAUUGUGACACCAAUUCAGUAGAGAAGAUACCUUGCGUGUUAAGGACCUAGGCAUUUAGGAUUGCUUCAACCAUAUUUCUACCUACUGCCUCCAUUAAGGGUCCUCAUGAUUCACUACGGAAGUUGUUCAUGUCUUGAAGACUUUCUGGACCCCCAUAAAUUAUGGGACUCCCUGAUUUUACUGAUUCCCGUGGAUGACAUGGAAGAGGGUGUGGAUGAAGUUCUAGAAAUAUAUGAAGAAACGGAAGGUGAUAAUGAAGAGGAGGAGCUGGUGAUCAUGGAAGAGGUGGAAGAAGAGGUGGAGGAAAGGGAGGAAGAAAGGGAGGAGGAAAGGGAGGAGGAAAGGGAGGAGGAAGCAGAAACCGAUGUUACUGAGAAUGCGGAGUAGAACUGAAAAAUAAAAGAGAGGGAGGGAAAGGAGGAGAAAAGAGAAGAAAGGGAAGAGGAUGAAAGGGAGGAAGUCAUGCCUUCCAUUUAUAUUACUUCCUCUUUUCUCCUUGUCCUCCUUUCUUGUCCCACUCCUCCUCCCUCUCUCCUCUGAAUCAGAACAUGCUGACUGUGUGUUUAAUUCACUGCUUUGUUGGGGUAGAUAAAUGUUAAUCCCUGAAAUAGAAGGUUUAUUAGAUUUAGAGUCUGGGAGGUAAGUUGGUCACACCUUCAUUUUCCUUUAUGUUUCCCCAAAAAUGUGGGAAAACAAUGCAAUCUUUUAGGAUUCCUUUAAAUCUUACAGUGCAUCAAUGAAAACUAAAUGCUGUGUACCUUUAUUUGUUAAGCUCAUGCAAGAAAACAAGAAAGUGUUAAUAAAUAUUAAUAAAUUUUGCUUUCUGACACAUUUAUUCAACAAA